GCACUUCUACUCUACUGGGUCACAUGAGCAAAUGAACUAAUUCAUGGAAUCAGGUUGGUUUUCUAGAGGGAGGAGCAUUAUAGUAGGAUAGUUACUACUACUUGGUUACAGUAGCUGCAGAACUACAACGAUCCUUAAAACUGAUUUAUUUCUUUAUUAAUGAAUUAAUACAUCUGCAUGGCCACCCAGUCACCAGUUUCCUGGGCAACUCACAAAAACUGUAAGAAUAAAAUACAGUAUUAAAAACACAAUGCUAAACAAUACAAGCAGCAUUGAAACGUUUUUCUUCUGUCAGAUAUGCAAAAAGAAAAAGUUGUUCAAAACAUUUGGUCUUCACCUUGUGCCAAAAAUAAAUAAAUAUAGGGAUGGUGUUACAGUAUGUGAGCAUCUCUAGCCUGUUUUGUAAUGGAAGCACAACCGCUGGGCAAGAGCUCUCUCCUUUGUUCUGAGGUGGGGAACCUUUUUCAGUCCCUCAUGGGAUACCUUCCGAGGGCUGCAUGCCAUGGUACACAGGGCCAAAGAUUACGCCAAGUAGUGUGACACAAAAGUCAAAGGUAUCUACAUAUGUAUGGACACACAUGCACGCACACACACACACACACACACACACACACACACAAUCUCCCCAUCAAGGCAAGUUGGAGGCAUUAGUCUAGGUACUGAGAGCACCCACCACAGCAUGACUUCUGGACUGAGUUUAUUCACUCUCAUGUAGCCUGUUUCUGCACCUCACUGAUUUAGAACAUUGCAGCCCUACCUGCAUCUGCUUGGCAUCAUUUGCGUAGUGGGAAACCUCAGACCAGCUCUCCAUCCAGAUGACCUCUUCCCAUGGUUUCAGAUUGAAGUGCAUUGCUACUAACUUUUACCAGAGGCUCAUUUUGCCACCUUUUGUGGAUGGAUGGGUAAUUGGGGGAAAGAAAUAUCAUAUUACAGAGUAGCAACAUCUGUUUUCUUGUAUUGUUUGGACUUUGCUUGCAGAAUGUCUGCCAUGCAUGGAGUUGCUCUACCAGGCAACAAAAAAGAUGGAAAUGCCUAAGCAGUAGUAAUGUUUUCUAGACCAAAACAUUCAUAUUAUCCUAUAUACUAUAUACUAUAUACUGUGUAGGCUUGAUGGUCUGGGGAGUGUGUCUCCUUUUUGAGUAACUGGUUUUGUGUAUCUGUGUGAAUAUGGAAAGCAGUACAAUGGUACCUCGGGUUACAUAUGCUUCAGGUUACAUACGCUUCAGGUUACAGACUCCACUAACCCAGAAAUAGUACCUCGGGUUAAGAACUUUGCUUCAGGAUGAGAACAGAAAUUGUGCUCCGGCAGUGCAGCAGCAGCUAGAGGCCCCAUUAGCUAAAGUGGUGCUUCAGGUUAAGAACAGUUUAAGGUUAAGAACGGACCUCCGGAACAAAUUAAGUACUUAACCCGAGGUACCACUGUAUAGCAUAAAGAUCCACAAAAUAUUUUUUAUUACAAUUCUAUCCUGCCUUGCCUUCCAAGGAGCUCAAGGAGGUGAUGGGCUUUUUCUGACCUACAUUUUAUCCUUGCAACAACACUGUUAGGUAGGUUCCUAACAAAUACUCAUGGAAUUAUUAUUAUUAUUAAUAAUAAUAAUUUAUUAUUACAGUCAAAGACCAGUUCAAGAAAACUUUUUCUAGAUGUGUAACAUUGCUUAGGCAGAUCUUGCUUGUGCUGGGCAGG